rnacentral:tRNA from 1 species
GCUUUAAUGGUGUAAUGGUAGCACACACGGUUCACAUUCGAGAGGUCCAGGUUCGAGACCCGGCGAGGGCA